rnacentral:lncRNA from 1 species
AACAUAUAACUAUGUUAACCUCUUCAAUUUUUUAAACAUUUUAAGUGGUAAGCUGUUGUUGAUUCAGAAAUACAUGCUGCCGCUCGCAAAAUUUCAAACUGCAUUAUCUCUAAAACGACAAUAGAUAUCUCAAAUCUGUCAAAUGGUAAAUGAUCUACAGUUAAAGGACAACAUUAUAGAAAAAGAAUUUGGACAAUUUCAAAGUUCACCAAGGUCACAAUUAAUCAUCAAAUAUAUGAUGCAAUACCAAACUUGAGAACCGGAAGUCGUAGAGACAUAGGACUAUUACCAUUCAACUCAGGACCACUUGAAAUUUCAAAUAUCAGAAGGUCAAGGUCAUAGUAUAAUGUGAAGGUCAAGGUGAAAUUUCAUCAUGACCUGACAUUGACCUCAAAUUGAAGGUCUUGAAUUACUGAUCAUCUUUGCAGUUUAUAGUAGGUUGAUAUCUGUUACCUUUAAAAAGAUAUACACACAAUACUAUACUUUUAAGAAUCAUCCCGUCGUGACUUUUGAACAGACAGUCGGACACUUUUGAGCUCAGUGUAUAAAAUGUAGAGCUCGUCGAGAGGAACAUUUUAUACGCUGUAAGUAUGCAGCAAACUCUUAUCGUUUUCUUAAUAUGCAAGCUUGAAAUUGCAGCGUAAUUUUUUUUUUCACUUGGUGACCUUUGACCUUGGGUGCAAAUUAAAGGUCACAUGAACUUAAGAUUAUUGGUGUAGGUUCCAAGUCUUUACGACUUCCGGUUCUCGAGAUACAAUUUUUCAAAAAUUGUAUAUUUUUUUUCAAGGGAAAUAACUCCUAAUAAGGGUUAACAACAAAAUGAUUGCAUAUGUUUAUUAACAUUGCAAUCUGGUCUUGUACAUGUUGCCGUUUUCAAAUCGAUUCUAUCUUGAAUACUUUUUGAGAAAAAUGUAAAAGAAAAGAAAUUGCUUCAAGGGGAC